rnacentral:rRNA from 1 species
CCUACGGGCGGCAGCAGUGGGGAAUUUUGCGCAAUGGGGGAAACCCUGACGCAGCAACGCCGCGUGCGGGACGACGGCCCUCGGGUUGUAAACCGCUUUCAGUGGGGACGAUGGUGGCGGUACCCACAGGAGAAGCCCCGGCUAACGACGUGCCAGCAGCCGCGGUAAUACGUAGGGAGCGAGCGUUAUCCGGAUUCAUUGGGCGUAAAGCGGGCGUAGGCGGAUGCCUAAGCGGACCCUAAAAUCACGGGGCUCAACCUCGGGGCGGGUUCGGAACUGGGCGGCGUGAGUGGGGUAGAGGCAGGCGGAAUGCCUGGUGUAGCGGUGGAACGCGUAGAUAUCGGGAAGAACACCGAUGGCGAAGGCAGCCUGCUGGGGCGUCACUGACGCUGAGGCGCGAAAGCUGGGGGAGCGAACAGGAUUAGAUACCCGUGUAGUC